CGUUUUGACCCUCAAACGGGCUGCGGAAAGCUAUGGCACGUAAAAAAGAUCGAAAGCGGAUUCUCAAGGUGUUUUUGAUGCUUUCUUAACGCCGUUAACCUCGAUGCACUUUUUCGCUCGAAACAAAACGGCAAGAAAAUCAUGUGGGCCCCACGGCCUUACACUUGGAUUGGCCGGGAAAAGGAUAUAUAGAAACGAGAGUGAUGUACUGACGGGUGUGAUCAUACCAGCACUAAUGCACCGGAUCCCAUCAGAACUCCGCAGUUAAGGGUGCUUGGGCGAGAGUAGUACUAGGAUGGGUGACCUCCCGGGAAGUCCUCGUGUUGCACCCCUUUUUAUUUUUUAAUUUUUUUUUACCCUAAAAAAGAUCGAAAGCGGAUUCUCAAGGUGUUUGUGAUGCUUUCUUAACGCCGUUAACCUCGAUGCACUUUUUCGCUCGAAACAAAACGGCAAGAAAAUCAUGUGCGCCCCACGGUCUUACACUUGGAUUGGCCGCGAAAAGGUUAUAUAGAAACGAGAUUGAUGUACUGACGGGUGCGAUCAUUCCAGCACUAAUGCACUGGAUCCCAUCAGAACUCUGCAGUUAAGCGUGCUUGGGCGAGAGUAGUACUAGGAUGGGUGACCUCCCGGGAAGUCCUCGUGUUGCACCCCUUUUUAUUUUUUAAUUUUUUUUAGCCUAAAACGAGUCUAAACUUGAAAACCUCAUAACUUUUGAACCGUGAGGAACUACGUCGCCCAUAGCACCAUUUCGGAAAGCCCCAGAAACCAUAAUCGGCGGUGAAUAGGGGGCGCAAUUUUUCGGGCUCAAAUUCAGACGUUUUGACCCUCAAACGGGCUGCGGAAAGCUAUGGCACGUAAAAAAGAUCGAAAGCUGAUUCUCAAGGUGUUUUUGAUGCUUUCUUAACGUUGUUAACCUCGAUGCACUUUUUCGCUCGAAACAAAACGGCAAGAAAAUCAUGUGCGCCCCACGGUCUUACACUUGGAUUGGCCGCGAAAAGGAUAUAUAGAAACGAGAGUGAUGUACUGACGGGUGCGAUCAAACCAGCACUAAUGCACCGGAUCCCAUCAGAACUCUACAGUUAUUCGUGCUUGGGCGAGAGUAGUACUAGGAUGGGUGACCUCCCGGGAAGUCCUCGUGUUGCACCCCUUUUUAUUUUUUAAUUUUUUUUUACCCUAAAACGAGUUUAAACUUGGUAACCUCAUAACUUUUGAACGGUGAGGAACUACGUCGCCCAUAGCACCAUUUCGGAAAGCCCCAGAAACCAUAAUGGGCGGUGAAUAAGGGGCACAAUUUUUCGGGCUCGAAUUCAGCCGUUUUGACCCUCAAACGGGCUGCGGAAAGUUAUGGCACGUAAAAAAGAUCGAAAGCGGAUUCUCAAGGUGUUUUUGAUGCUUUCUUAACGCCGUUAACCUCGAUGCACUUUUUCGCUCGAAACAAAACGGCAAGAAAAUCAUGUGCGCCCCACGGUCUUACACUUGGAUUGGCAGCAAAAAGGAUAUAUAGAAACGAGAGUGAUGUACUGACGGGUGCGAUCAAACCAGCACUAAUGCACCGGAUCCCAUCAGAACUCUGCAGUUAAUCGUGCUUGGGCGAGAGUAGUACUAGGAUGGGUGACCUCCCGGAAAGUCCUCGUGUUGCACCCCUUUUUAUUUUUUAAUUUUUUUUACCCUAAAACGAGUUUAAACUUGGAAACCUCAUAACUUUUGAACCGUGAGGAACUACGUCGCCCAUAGCACCAUUUUGGAAAGCCCCAGAAACCAUAAUGGGCGGUGAGUAGGGGGCGCAAUUUUUCGGGCUCAAAUUCAGCCGUUUUGACCCUCAAACGGGCUGCGGAAAGUUAUAGCAUGCAAAAAAGAUCGAAAGCGGAUUCUCAAUGUGUUUUUAAUGCUUUCUUAACGCCGUUAACCUCGAUGCACUUUUUCGCUCGAAACACAACGGCAAGAAAAUCAUGUGGGCCCCACGGCCUUACACUUGGAUUGGCCGGGAAAAGGAUAUAUAGAAACGAGAGUGAUGUGCUAACGGGUGUGAUCAUACCGGCACUAAUGCACCGGAUCCCAUCAGAACUCCGCAGUUAAGGGUGCUUGGGCGAGAGUAGUACUAGGAUGGGUGACCUCCCGCGAAGUCCUCGUGUUGCACCCCUUUUUAUUUUUUAAUUUUUUUUUACCCUAAAAAAGAUCGAAAGCGGAUUCUCAAGGUGUUUUUGAUGCUUUCUUAACGCCGUUAACCUCGAUGCACUUUUUCGCUCGAAACAAAACGGCAAGAAAAUCAUGUGCGCCCCACGGUCUUACACUUGGAUUGGCCGCGAAAAGGAUAUAUAGAAACGAGAGUGAUGUACUGACGGGUGCGAUCAUACCAGCACUAAUGCACGGGAUCCCAUCAAAACUCCGCAGUUAAGCGUGCUUGGGCGAGAGUAGUACUAGGAUGGGUGACCUCCCGGGAAGUCCUCGUGUUGCACCCCUUUUUAUUUUUUAAUUUUUUUUAGCCUAAAACGAGUCUAAACUUGAAAACCUCAUAACUUUUGAACCGUGAGGAACUACGUCGCCCAUAGCACCAUUUCGGAAAGCCCCAGAAACCAUAAUCGGCGGUGAAUAGGGGGCGCAAUUUUUCGGGCUCAAAUUCAGACGUUUUGACACUCAAACGGGCUGCGGAAAGCUAUGGCACGUAAAAAAGAUCGAAAGCUGAUUCUCAAGGUGUUUUUGAUGCUUUCUUAACGUUGUUAACCUCGAUGCACUUUUUCGCUCGAAACAAAACGGCAAGAAAAUCAUGUGUGCCCCACGGUCUUACACUUGGAUUGGCCGCGAAAAGGAUAUAUAGAAACGAGAGUGAUGUACUGACGGGUGUGAUCAAACCAGCACUAAUGCACCGGAUCCCAUCAGAACUGUACAGCUAAUCGUGCUUGGGCGAGAGUAGUACUAGGAUGGGUGACCUCCCGGGAAGUCCUCGUGUUGCACCCCUUUUUAUUUUUUAAUAUUUUUUUUACCCUAAAACGAGUUUAAACUUGGAAACCUCAUAACUUUUGAACCGUGAGGAACUACGUCGCCCAUAGCACCAUUUCGGAAAGCCCAAGAAACCAUAAUCGGCGGUGAAUAAGGGGCACAAUUUUUCGGGCUCGAAUUCAGCCGUUUUGACCCUCAAACGGGCUGCGGAAAGUUAUGGCACGUAAAAAAGAUCGAAAGCAGAUUCUCAAGGUGUUUUUGAUGCUUUCUUAACGCCGUUAACCUCGAUGCACUUUUUCGCUCGAAACAAAACGGCAAGAAAAUCAUGUGGGCCCCACGGACUUACACUUGGAUUGGCCGGGAAAAGGAUAUAUAGAAACGAGAGUGAUGUACUGACGGGUGUGAUCAAACCAGCACUAAUGCACCGGAUCCCAUCAGAACUGUACAGCUAAUCGUGCUUGGGCGAGAGUAGUACUAGGAUGGGUGACCUCCCGGGAAGUCCUCGUGUUGCACCCCUUUUUAUUUUUUAAUAUUUUUUUUACCCUAAAACGAGUUUAAACUUGGAAACCUCAUAACUUUUGAACCGUGAGGAACUACGUCGCCCAUAGCACCAUUUCGGAAAGCCCAAGAAACCAUAAUCGGCGGAGAAUAAGGGGCACAAUUUUUCGGGCUCGAAUUCAGCCGUUUUGACCCUCAAACGGGCUGCGGAAAGUUAUGGCACGUAAAAAAGAUCGAAAGCAGAUUCUCAAGGUGUUUUUGAUGCUUUCUUAACGCCGUUAACCUCGAUGCACUUUUUCGCUCGAAACACAACGGCAAGAAAAUCAUGUGGGCCCCACGGCCUUACACUUGGAUUGGCCGGGAAAAGGAUAUAUAGAAACGAGAGUGAUGUGCUAACGGGUGUGAUCAUACCGGCACUAAUGCACCGGAUCCCAUCAGAACUCCGCAGUUAAGGGUGCUUGGGCGAGAGUAGUACUAGGAUGGGUGACCUCCCGCGAAGUCCUCGUGUUGCACCCCUUUUUAUUUUUUAAUUUUUUUUUACCCUAAAAAAGAUCGAAAGCGGAUUCUCAAGGUGUUUUUGAUGCUUUCUUAACGCCGUUAACCUCGAUGCACUUUUUCGCUCGAAACAAAACGGCAAGAAAAUCAUGUGCGCCCCACGGUCUUACACUUGGAUUGGCCGCGAAAAGGAUAUAUAGAAACGAGAGUGAUGUACUGACGGGUGCGAUCAUACCAGCACUAAUGCACGGGAUCCCAUCAAAACUCCGCAGUUAAGCGUGCUUGGGCGAGAGUAGUACUAGGAUGGGUGACCUCCCGGGAAGUCCUCGUGUUGCACCCCUUUUUAUUUUUUAAUUUUUUUAGCCUAAAACGAGUCUAAACUUGAAAACCUCAUAACUUUUGAACCGUGAGGAACUACGUCGCCCAUAGCACCAUUUCGGAAAGCCCCAGAAACCAUAAUCGGCGGUGAAUAGGGGGCGCAAUUUUUCGGGCUCAAAUUCAGACGUUUUGACACUCAAACGGGCUGCGGAAAGCUAUGGCACGUAAAAAAGAUCGAAAGCUGAUUCUCAAGGUGUUUUUGAUGCUUUCUUAACGUUGUUAACCUCGAUGCACUUUUUCGCUCGAAACAAAACGGCAAGAAAAUCAUGUGUGCCCCACGGUCUUACACUUGGAUUGGCCGCGAAAAGGAUAUAUAGAAACGAGAGUGAUGUACUGACGGGUGUGAUCAAACCAGCACUAAUGCACCGGAUCCCAUCAGAACUGUACAGCUAAUCGUGCUUGGGCGAGAGUAGUACUAGGAUGGGUGACCUCCCGGGAAGUCCUCGUGUUGCACCCCUUUUUAUUUUUUAAUAUUUUUUUACCCUAAAACGAGUUUAAACUUGGAAACCUCAUAACUUUUGAACCGUGAGGAACUACGUCGCCCAUAGCACCAUUUCGGAAAGCCCAAGAAACCAUAAUCGGCGGUGAAUAAGGGGCACAAUUUUUCGGGCUCGAAUUCAGCCGUUUUGACCCUCAAACGGGCUGCGGAAAGUUAUGGCACGUAAAAAAGAUCGAAAGCAGAUUCUCAAGGUGUUUUUGAUGCUUUCUUAACGCCGUUAACCUCGAUGCACUUUUUCGCUCGAAACAAAACGGCAAGAAAAUCAUGUGGGCCCCACGGACUUACACUUGGAUUGGCCGGGAAAAGGAUAUAUAGAAACGAGAGUGAUGUACUGACGGGUGUGAUCAAACCAGCACUAAUGCACCGGAUCCCAUCAGAACUGUACAGCUAAUCGUGCUUGGGCGAGAGUAGUACUAGGAUGGGUGACCUCCCGGGAAGUCCUCGUGUUGCACCCCUUUUUAUUUUUUAAUAUUUUUUUUACCCUAAAACGAGUUUAAACUUGGAAACCUCAUAACUUUUGAACCGUGAGGAACUACGUCGCCCAUAGCACCAUUUCGGAAAGCCCAAGAAACCAUAAUCGGCGGAGAAUAAGGGGCACAAUUUUUCGGGCUCGAAUUCAGCCGUUUUGACCCUCAAACGGGCUGCGGAAAGUUAUGGCACGUAAAAAAGAUCGAAAGCAGAUUCUCAAGGUGUUUUUGAUGCUUUCUUAACGCCGUUAACCUCGAUGCACUUUUUCGCUCGAAACAAAACGGCAAGAAAAUCAUGUGGGCCCCACGGACUUACACUUGGAUUGGCCGGGAAAAGGAUAUAUAGAAACGAGAGUGAUGUAUUGACGGGUGUGAUCAUACCAGCACUAUUGCACCGGAUCCCAUCAGAACUCUGCAGUUAAUCGUGCUUGGGCGAGAGUAGUACUAGGAUGGGUGACAUCCCGGGAAGUCCUCGUGUUGCACCCCUUUUUAUUUUUUAAUUUUUUUUUACCCUAAAACGAGUUUAAACUUGGAAACCUCAUAACUUUUGAACCGUGAGGAACUACGUCGCCCAUAGCACCAUUUUGGAAAGCCCCAGAAACCAUAAUGGGCGGUGAGUAGGGGGCGCAAUUUUUCGGGCUCAAAUUCAGCCGUUUUGACCCUCAAACGGGCUGCGGAAAGUUAUAGCAUGCAAAAAAGAUCGAAAGCGGAUUCUCAAUGUGUUUUUAAUGCUUUCUUAACGCCGUUAACCUCGAUGCACUUUUUCGCUCGAAACACAACGGCAAGAAAAUCAUGUGGGCCCCACGGCCUUACACUUGGAUUGGCCGGGAAAAGGAUAUAUAGAAACGAGAGUGAUGUACUAACGGGUGUGAUCAUACCGGCACUAAUGCACCGGAUCCCAUCAAAACUCCGCAGUUAAGGGUGCUUGGGCGAGAGUAGUACUAGGAUGGGUGACCUCCCGCGAAGUCCUCGUGUUGCACCCCUUUUUAUUUUUUAAUUUUUUUUUACCCUAAAAAAGAUCGAAAGCGGAUUCUCAAGGUGUUUUUGAUGCUUUCUUAACGCCUUUAACCUCGAUGCACUUUUUCGCUCGAAACAAAACGGCAAGAAAAUCAUGUGCGCCCCACGGUCUUACACUUGGAUUGGCCGCGAAAAGGAUAUAUAGAAACGAGAGUGAUGUACUGACGGGUGCGAUCAUACCAGCACUAAUGCACGGGAUCCCAUCAAAACUCCGCAGUUAAGCGUGCUUGGGCGAGAGUAGUACUAGGAUGGGUGACCUCCCGGGAAGUCCC
rnacentral:lncRNA from 1 species